rnacentral:tRNA from 1 species
CCGAACUUAGCUCAGUUGGAAGAGCAUCGGACUGUAAAUCCGGUGGUCCCCGGUUCGAACCCGGGAGUUCGGA